rnacentral:rRNA from 1 species
AUUGAACGCUGGCGGCAGGCCUAACACAUGCGAGUCGAGCGGUUGAGGUAGCUUGCUACCGAUGCAGCGGCGGACGGGUGAGUAAUACAUGGGAAUCUGCCUGGUAGUGGGGGACAACGUUUCGAAAGGAACGCUAAUACCGCAUACGCCCUACGGGGGAAAGGGGGGGAUCUUCGGACCUCUCGCUAUCAGAUGAGCCC